UGCAGUCGAACGAUGAACCACUUCGGUGGGGAUUAGUGGCGAACGGGUGAGUAACACGUGGGCAAUCUGCCCUUCACUCUGGGACAAGCCCUGGAAACGGGGUCUAAUACCGGAUAAUACUUCCACGGGCAUCUGUGGGGGUUGAAAGCUCCGGCGGUGAAGGAUGAGCCCGCGGCCUAUCAGCUUGUUGGUGAGGUAAUGGCUCACCAAGGCGACGACGGGUAGCCGGCCUGAGAGGGCGACCGGCCACACUGGGACUGAGACACGGCCCAGACUCCUACGGGAGGCAGCAGUGGGGAAUAUUGCACAAUGGGCGAAAGCCUGAUGCAGCGACGCCGCGUGAGGGAUGACGGCCUUCGGGUUGUAAACCUCUUUCAGCAGGGAAGAAGCGAAAGUGACGGUACCUGCAGAAGAAGCGCCGGCUAACUACGUGCCAGCAGCCGCGGUAAUACGUAGGGCGCAAGCGUUGUCCGGAAUUAUUGGGCGUAAAGAGCUCGUAGGCGGCUUGUCACGUCGGGUGUGAAAGCCCGGGGCUUAACCCCGGGUCUGCAUUCGAUACGGGCUAGCUAGAGUGUGGUAGGGGAGAUCGGAAUUCCUGGUGUAGCGGUGAAAUGCGCAGAUAUCAGGA
rnacentral:rRNA from 1 species